rnacentral:rRNA from 1 species
UACAGAGGGGGCAAGCGUUGUUCGGAAUUACUGGGCGUAAAGGGCGCGUAGGCGGCCGCCUAAGUCAGACGUGAAAUCCCUCGGCUCAACCGGGGAACUGCGUCUGAUACUGGGUGGCUUGAAUCCGGGAGAGGGAUGCGGAAUUCCAGGUGUAGCGGUGAAAUGCGUAGAGAUGGGGGAGAACACUCGUGGCGAAGGCGGCCAGCUGGACCAGUUCUGACGCUGAGACGCGAAAGCGUGGGGAGCAAACAGG